AAAAUCCUAGCAAAACUGUUUCAGAAAAGUAUAGUUGCUCUUCAUCAAGAUCCUAAUGUGUUUGUGUGUGUGUGUGUGUAUGUGUUUGUGUGUAUGUGUUUGUGUUUGUGUGUGUGUGGUGUGUGUGUGGUGUGUGUGUGUUUGUGUGUGUGUGUUUGUGUGGUGUGGUGUGUUUGUGUGUGUGUGUGUGUGUGUGCUUGUGUGGUGUGUGUGUGUGUUUGUGUGGUAUGUGUAUGUGUGUGUGUGAACAGUUUUAUUUUGGUGUACUUAAUUAAGUCUUUUGUAGUCAUAGAGGAACUCAGAUAUGCAGUUAAAGGUAUGUAACUUUUAGGAAAAGUUGGGUGCUGAGUGAGAUCUCCUUGACUAGAAAAUAGUCAAAUAUUUUUAUUCUAAUGCAUAAAAAUUACUAAAUGUAUAGUUUUGAUGGAAUAAUGUACAUAGAGGUGUAUAUAAAGUUAUUUAGAAUCAUAAAAAUAAAUGUUUUUAUAAUGAUUUUGCUAUGAGAAAAAUUUCUGUAGUAUGCCUGUAUUGUCUGAAGUAAACUAAAAUUAUGUUAUAUUCUGUGUAGACAGCAUAUAUGGAAUUUUCAGUAAAUUAUUAUUUACUAAUCAUUGUAGUUUUCCUAUGCUGUAUUCUAUAUAGAUGGCUUUUAGUGAAAUAGCUUCUACUUUCAACAAUCCAUUAUAAUGUUGGAAAACUUGAUAAAAUUAGCCAUUUUAUUAUCUAAACACUUAUUUUCAGAGAUUUACUUUCCUCUGUUAAUAAAUUACAAAAUUACAAAGACAAUAAAGAAAACAAAAACAGAAGAUUUUGUCUUUUCUUAGAUAUGCAGUUGGUUAAGGAAACAUAACACAUAAUUUUCAAGAAUACUUUAUCUUUGACUCAUAGUCACUUACUUUCAUGAAGAAAAUUUACAGAGGAAUAUUUGUCAGUUGUGGUUAGCCUUUUGUCCCCACUCAAUUCAGACAGCAUAGGAAAUCCAAGAUAUACAAAGACUUGGACUCUGGGGAGAGGCCUCUUUGGAGAACACAUUUGGCAUGUAAGCAUGACUACCUGUGCUCAAAUCCCCAGGACCCAUGUGACAUCAGGCAUGAUAGUGCAGGAACUGAAUGCUAGCCUUCUGCUGGGGCUGUGGGAGGCAGAACAGCAGAAUCUCUGGAAACUCACAGACCUGCUAGCCUCAUCUAAUAGCAGCAAGCAAGAGACCAGUGCCAACAAAAAGGUAGAGAUGAGGGCUGAUUCCUCACACUGUUCUCUUCCCGUCACAUGUGCCCCAUGGCACAUAUGCACCUGCAUUCAGACACACCAAUAUGUGUACACAUACACACACAUAUCACAAAUCUGUAUACACACACAAAGUUUAAUGGGAUGACUAUGUCGGUCAGUGGUGGGAUAAUUGCGUGGCAUGUUCAAGGCCUUAGGGUCAGUCCUCAGGAUCAGCAAAAGAAACAAAUGAGCAAGACCACAGAACAGAAAGAAUAAAAAACUAACAGAAUACUGACAAAGUACCAGGAGUUACCUGCCUUUCCUUACUUAUCUUCUGGUGGUUAACAAAAACAGUACUCAUUUCUUUUUUUCUUUCCUACUGGUCAACUCACUAUGUAGUAUUGCAUAGGCACAACAGCUAACUCAAAACCUUUUUACCAUAACAAAGAGAAUUGUUUUUAGUUAGGAUAUAGUCCUUUUAGUGUUUUAGGUAUUGCUAAUCAUAAAUUAGAAGCAGUAUUUUUUAAUACUUGUUUUUACUGAUGGUUUUCUCUUUGGUUGGAGUAAGUGGUAUGACAAACUUUAAGUAAACUGUGCACAGAAAGCUGGCUGAUAGGAUUUUUCAAAAAAGAAUUUUGGGACUGGGUAGAUGGCUCAGUAAUUAACGUACUUGCUGUACAAGCACAAGGUUGAGGGUUCUGGGACCUAGAAGCCUUGCAACACUGAGUGGACAUAGCAGUCUGCCUGUGUCUCCAGCCCUGAAAGGUAUUGUCUGAGUCACCUGAUUCAACUGGCUAGCAAGAUGAGCUUUACCAACUAACUCAGGGUUUGAUUGAGAGACCUGAUUCAGUGAAUAAAGAACAAGGAUGAUUCCUGAUACCAACUUCCUACAUGCAGGUCACACAUCC
rnacentral:lncRNA from 1 species